GGGAAUGGAGCUUAGUGGUAGAGUGCUUGCCUCACAUGCAUGAAGUCCCAGGUUCAAUUCCUGAGUACCA
rnacentral:tRNA from 1 species